rnacentral:rRNA from 1 species
GACGUAGGGCGCGAGCGUUGUCCGGAUUUAUUGGGCGUAAAGAGCUCGUAGGCGGCUUGUUGCGUCGACUGUGAAAACCUGCGGCUCAACCGUGUGGUCUGCAGUCGAUACGGGCAGGCUGGAGUUCGGUAGGGGAGACUGGAAUUCCUGGUGUAGCGGUGAAAUGCGUAGAUAUCGGGAAGAACACCCGUGGCGAAGGCGGUUCUCUGGGACGGUACUGACGCUGAGACGCGAAAGCGUGGGGAGCGAACAGG